GAUGAACGCUAGCGGCAGGCCUAAUACAUGCAAGUCGAGGGGCGGCACAGGUAGCAAUACUGGGUGGCGACCGGCAAACGGGUGCGGAACACGUACGCAACCUUCCUUUAAGUGGGGAAUAGCCCAGAGAAAUUUGGAUUAAUACCCCGGUAAUAUCAUUGAGAGGCAUCUUUUGAUGAUUAAAGCUGAGGCGCUUAAAG
rnacentral:rRNA from 1 species